rnacentral:rRNA from 1 species
AUUGAACGCUGGCGGCAUGCUUUACACAUGCAAGUCGAACGGUAACAGGCCGCAAGGUGCUGACGAGUGGCGAACGGGUGAGUAAUGCAUCGGAACGUGCCCAGUCGUGGGGGAUAACGCAGCGAAAGCUGCGCUAAUACCGCAUACGAUCUCUGGAUGAAAGCGGGGGACCGUAAGGCCUCGCGCGAUGGGAGCGGCCGAUGUCAGAUUAGGUAGUUGGUGGGGUAAAGGCUCACCAAGCCGACGAUCUGUAGCUGGGCUGAGAGGUCGACCAGCCACACUGGGAGGGAGACACGGCCCAGACUCCUACGGGAGGCAGCAGUGGGGAAUUUUGGACAAUGGGCGCAAGCCUGAUCCAGCAAUGCCGCGUGCAGGAAGAAGGCCUUCGGGUUGUAAACUGCUUUUGUACGGAACGAAACGGCUCUGGUUAAUACCUGGGGCUAAUGACGGUACCGUAAGAAUAAGCACCGGCUAACUACGUGCCAGCCGCCGCCGUAAAAC